rnacentral:pre_miRNA from 2 species
UAACAUCUGCAGGCUGCCACCCCCAGGCUGGGCUGGGCAGUAUCUCUUUGAAAGGCCCACCUUUAAGCACAACCAGAAGC